CAUAACCAUAUUAGGAGUAAUAAGAAAUCAAUUAGAAUAGGUCCCUGACAGUAGAAAGAGAUGCGAACGCCAAAAGUUUCUGACCUUCCGGCGUAUUUUCUGGUGAUUCCGACAGCGGUUCGCGAUGCAUGAGCGCCGGCCAAUGCCGAGGUUACUGUUCCGGCAGUUUUCUUGAGUUCUCCGACGAUUCCAGUCACUGUUGGUGAUGAUUAAGGAGUUCAACUCGGAGAUUUUAAAGGCGAAUUGUAUAAUUGAACAAGGACUGUCCAAGUUCAUUUUGAGUUCCACAGAGAAGAAUGGGAGUGAUGGCGAAAUGUAUAAUCGAUUGUUAUUUAGCAGAAGAGUUAUUUAGUCGAUUGUUAUCUGUUAACUAAACUAGAACCCGGUUAUAAAGUUUCAAGGUUUUAUGGAAUUAUGAAGUUGAGUUGGUCAUGGAAAGUUUAAGACCUUGUAUGUUACUUGCUUUAGAUCGUAAAUGGUCGUGAAAUUGACUAUAGG